rnacentral:rRNA from 1 species
GAUGAACGCUGGCGGCGUGCCUAAUACAUGCAAGUCGAGCGAACAGACGAGGAGCUUGCUCCUCUGACGUUAGCGGCGGACGGGUGAGUAACACGUGGAUAACCUACCUAUAAGACUGGGAUAACUUCGGGAAACCGGAGCUAAUACCGGAUAAUAUAUUGAACCGCAUGGUUCAAUAGUGAAAGACGGUUUUGCUGUCACUUAUAGAUGGAUCCGCGCCGCAUUAGCUAGUUGGUAAGGUAACGGCUUACCAAGGCAACGAUGCGUAGCCGACCUGAGAGGGUGAUCGGCCACACUGGAACUGAGACACGGUCCAGACGCCUACGGGAGGCAGCAGUAGGGAAUCUUCCGCAAAGGGCGAAAGCCUGGCGGAGCAACGCCGCGUGAGUGAUGAAGGUCUUCGGAUCGUAAAACUCUGUUAUUAGUGAAGAACAAAUGUGUAAGUAACUAUGCACGUCUAGACGGUACCUAAUCAGAAAGCCACGGCUAACUACGUG